rnacentral:tRNA from 1 species
AGUUUUAUAUUCAAAUUGAUGAUUUUAGAUUGCAAAUCUAAAGGUGUAUUAAUUACUAAGGCUU